rnacentral:rRNA from 1 species
AGUGAACGCUGGCGGUAGGCCUAACACAUGCAAGUCGAACGGCAGCACAGUAAGAGCUUGCUCUUACGGGUGGCGAGUGGCGGACGGGUGAGGAAUACAUCGGAAUCUACUUUUUCGUGGGGGAUAACAUAGGGAAACUUACGCUAAUACCGCAUACGACCUACGGGUGAAAGCAGGGGAUCUUCGGACCUUGCGCGAUUGAAUGAGCCGAUGUCGGAUUAGCUAGUUGGCGGGGUAAAGGCCCACCAAGGCGACGAUCCGUAGCUGGUCUGAGAGGAUGAUCAGCCACACUGGAACUGAGACACGGUCCAGACUCCUACGGGAGGCAGCAGUGGGGAAUAUUGGACAAUGGGCGCAAGCCUGAUCCAGCCAUACCGCGUGGGUGAAGAAGGCCUUCGGGUUGUAAAGCCCUUUUGUUGGGAAAGAAAAGCAGCAGGUUAAUACCCCGCUGUUCUGACGGUACCAAAGAAUAAGCACCGGCUAACUUCGUG